rnacentral:rRNA from 1 species
AGAGUUUGAUCCUGGCUCAGGAUGAACGCUAGCGGCAGGCCUAAUACAUGCAAGUCGAACGGUAAUAUAGUUUUCGGAUUAUAUUUAGUGGCGCACGGGUGAGUAACACGUACAUAACUUACCCUCAAGAGGGGGAUAGCCUCGGGAAACUGAGAGUAAUACCCCAUAGUAUUGCGAAUCGGCAUCGAUAUGCAAUUAAAGCUACGGCGCUUGAGGAUAGAUGUGCGUCUGAUUAGCUAGUUGGUAAGGUAACGGCUUACCAAGGCGACGAUCAGUAGGGGGCGUGAGAGCGUGGCCCCCCACACGGGUACUGAGACACGGACCCGACUCCUACGGGAGGCAGCAGUAAGGAAUAUUGGUCAAUGCCCGGAAGGGUGAACCAGCCAUGCCGCGUGAAGGAUGACUGCCCUAUGGAUUGUAAACUGCUUUUGCACAGGAAGAAACAUUCCGACGUGUCGGGACUUGACGGUACUGUGAGAAUAAGGAUCGGCUAACUCCGUGCCAGCAGCCGCGGUAAUACGGAGGAUCCAAGCGUUAUCCGGAAUCACUGGGUUUAAAGGGUGCGUAGGCGGUUUAGUAAGUCAGUGGUGAAAGCCCAUCGCUCAACGGUGGAACGGCCAUUGAUACUGCUAGACUUGAAU